UGGCUCUUGCAAAGAUUGGAUCUAAAAGGGGGGACCUUCUUUCUGGAGGAAUUCUGCACCGACUUUGCAGCAGCUCCUGGCUUCAGUUUUCCUGCAGCUAACGGGAAAGUUGCAAAAACUGGUUCCCCAUCUGUAAGAACUUGCGGUUUCAUUUUUUUUUAACUUUCCAAUCUGUUCUUUUCAAUUUGGAAACCAUUUCAGAUCAGGGGCUGCCCCAGAACCCCAGGCUAGCUCGGGAUAAAUUGAUAGUCAGUGGACGCUGCGUGUUGAACUAUAAGAACUUUUGUCCUCUGAGAACCAAAAAUCUACUUCUGGGAUGAAAAGCGCCCUCACUUCUGAUUUUCAGGACUGUGAAAGUUGGAUUCCUUUGUGAACAUCUGGAACAGUGGGCACAGCUGCAUUUCAUUGGGAACAGAAGCACACAGAGAGCCUGGGGCAAGGCACACAGCUGGAUUCAGAGCCUCUAAGUUCCUGAUGUACUGGCAAAGCAUCAAGGGUCACUAUGGAAGCUGCUCAUCCCAUCAUCACUCGCCUUGGAAGGGACUUCUGGGCACCACAGGUUCUUAUCAUUCACUUUGUGGACAACGAUCGCAUUACUUACAAAGAGAAAACAUUACAGAAACUGAGAGAUGAAGAAAAGAGAAAAGCAACAAGCAGAGGGAGUGAUCAAAUGUCCUAUUUUAUAUGGGGAUGUUCUAUACUUUGACUCACUCACGUUUGCUUCCAAAUAGAGCCGAAUCCUUCAAUAUGAGCAAAGGCAACAUCCCUAUUAACAUCAAUGGGGGGAAAAGAUUGUUGCCUCUGCCAGGAGUGCAAAACUGGGCACAAAUCUCAACCUGUCUCCAUGACACAGG